CCUACGGGUGACAGCAGUGAGGAAUAUUGGUCAAUGGGCGAGAGCCUGAACCAGCCAAGUCGCGUGAGGGAAGACGGCCCUAUGGGUUGUAAACCUCUUUUGUCGGAGAACAAAAUCCGGCACGUGUGCCGGUCUGCGUGUACCCGAAGAAAAAGCAUCGGCUAACUCCGUGCCAGCAGCCGCGGUAAUACGGAGGAUGCGAGCGUUAUCCGGAUUUAUUGGGUUUAAAGGGUGCGCAGGCGGAUGUUUAAGUCAGCGGUAAAAUCGUGGGGCUCAACCCCAUCCAGCCGUUGAAACUGGGUAUCUUGAGUGGGCGAGAGGUAUGCGGAAUGCGUGGUGUAGCGGUGAAAUGCAUAGAUAUCACGCAGAACCCCGAUUGCGAAGGCAGCAUACCGGUGCACAACUGACGCUCAGGCACGAAAGCGUGGGUAUCGAACAGGAUUAGAUACCCUUGUAGUC
rnacentral:rRNA from 1 species